rnacentral:rRNA from 1 species
AUUGAACGCUGGCGGCAGGCCUAACACAUGCAAGUCGAACGAGUGGCGGACGGGUGAGUAACGUCUGGGCAACUGCCUGAUGGAGGGGGAUAACUACUGGAACCGGUAGCUAAUACCGCAUACCAUCAGAUGUGCCCAGAUGGGAUUAGCGUGUUGGUGGGGUAACGGCUCACCAAGGCGACGAUCCCUAGCUGGUCUGAGAGGGUGACCAGCCACACUGGAACCGAGACACGGUCCAGACUCCGACGGGAGGCAGCAGUAGGGAAUGUUGCACAAUGGGCGAAAGCAUGAUGAAGCCAAGCCGCGUGUAUGAAGAAGGCCUUCGGGUGGUAAAGUACUUUCAGCGGGGAAGCGUUACCCGCAGAAGAAGCUCCGGCUAACUCCGUGCCAGCAGCCGCGGUAAUAC